GGCGGCGUGCUUAACACAUGCAAGUCGAGCGGAAAGGCCCUUCGGGGUACUCGAGCGGCGAACGGGUGAGUAACACGUGAGCAACCUGCCCUAGGCUUUGGGAUAACCCCGGGAAACCGGGGCUAAUACCGAAUAUGACCUUUCCUCGCAUGAGGUUUGGUGGAAAGUUUUUCGGCCUGGGAUGGGCUCGCGGCCUAUCAGCUUGUUGGUGGGGUGAUGGCCUACCAAGGCGACGACGGGUAGCCGGCCUGAGAGGGCGACCGGCCACACUGGGACUGAGACACGGCCCAGACUCCUACGGGAGGCAGCAGUGGGGAAUAUUGCACAAUGGGCGGAAGCCUGAUGCAGCGACGCCGCGUGAGGGAUGACGGCCUUCGGGUUGUAAACCUCUUUCAGCAGGGACGAAGCGUAAGUGACGGUACCUGCAGAAGAAGCGCCGGCCAACUACGUGCCAGCAGCCGCGGUAAGACGUAGGGCGCGAGCGUUGUCCGGAUUUAUUGGGCGUAAAGAGCUCGUAGGCGGCUUGUCGCGUCGACUGUGAAAACCCGCAGCUCAACUGCGGGCCUGCAGUCGAUACGGGCAGGCUAGAGUUCGGUAGGGGAGACUGGAAUUCCUGGUGUAGCGGUGAAAUGCGCAGAUAUCAGGAGGAACACCGGUGGCGAAGGCGGGUCUCUGGGCCGAUACUGACGCUGAGGAGCGAAAGCGUGGGGAGCGAACAGGAUUAGAUACCCUGGUAGUCCACGCUGUAAACGUUGGGCGCUAGGUGUGGGGGGCCUCUCCGGUUCCCUGUGCCGCAGCUAACGCAUUAAGCGCCCCGCCUGGGGAGUACGGCCGC
rnacentral:rRNA from 1 species